GGCCUCGUAGCUCAGCUGGUUGAGCAUGCGCGUACAAAGCGUAGGCGGCGUCCAUGCGUGGGUUCCAAUCCCACCGAGGCUA
rnacentral:tRNA from 1 species